AUUGAACGCUGGCGGCAGGCCUAACACAUGCAAGUCGAGCGGCAGCGGGAAAGUAGCUUGCUACUUUUGCCGGCGAGCGGCGGCCGGGUGAGCAAUGCCUGGGGAUCUGCCCAGUCGAGGGGGCUAACUACUGGAAACGGUAGCUAAUACCGCAUACGCCCUACGGGGGAAAGCAGGGGACCUUCGUGCAUUGGGCGCUUGGAUGAACCCAGGUGGGAUUAGCUAGUUGGUGAGGGAAUGGCUCACCAAGGCGGCGAUCCCUAGCUGGUCUGAGGGGAGGAUCAGCCACAGUGGAACCGAGACACGGUCCAGACUCCUACGGGAGGCAGCAGUGGGGAAUAUUGCACAAGGGGGAAACCCUGAUGCAGCCAUGCCGCGUGUGUGAAGAAGGCCUUCGGGUUGUAAAGCACUUUCAGCGAGGAGGAAAGGUUGGUAGCUAAUAACUGCCAGCUGUGACGUUACUCGCAGAAGAAGCACCGGCUAACUUCGUGCCAGCCGCCGCGGUAAGAC
rnacentral:rRNA from 1 species